GUGACGGCGUGCCUUUUGCAUAAUGAGCCUACGAGUUACUCAUCACCAGCGAGGUUAAGUACUUCAGGUACGUAAGCCGAAGCGAAAGCGAGUCUGAAUAGGGCGUCAAGUUGGUGGUGGUAGACGCGAAACCUUAGUGAUCUACCCAUGGGCAGGGUGAAGGUUUGGUAACACAAACUGGAGGCCCGAACCGGUAAACGUUGAAAAGUUUUCGGAUGACCUGUGGGUAGGGGUGAAAGGCCAAUCAAACUGGGAAAUAGCUCGUACUCUCCGAAAUGCAUUUAGGUGCAGCCUCUGUUGUUUUGUUCUAGAGGUAGAGCUACUGAUUGGAUGCGAGGGCUUCACCGCCUAUCAAAUCCGGCCAAACUCCGAAUGCUAGAACAUGAAGACAGGGAGUGAGCCAGCGGGUGCUAAGGUCCGUUGACGAAAGAGGGAGAACUCAGACCAUCAGCUAAGGUCCCCAAUUAUAUGCUAAGUUGGAAUUAAAACGGGGUGGGACUGCUUAGACAGCUAGGAUGUUGGCUUGGAAGCAGCCAUUCAUUUAAAGAGUGCGUAACAGCUCACUAGUCGAGCGGUCCUGCAUGGAUAAUACGCGGGCAUAAGCAUAUAACCGAAGCUAUGGGAUUGUAGAUGAUACAAUCGGUAGGAGAGCAUUCCAUUCAGCAUAGAAGCAGUACCGUGAGGUAUUGUGGAGCGGAUGGAAAAGCAAAUGUAGGCAUAAGUAACGAUAAUGCGGGUGAGAACCCCGCACGCCGAAAGAUCAAGGAUUCCCCGGCAAUGUCAAUCAUCCGGGGGUAAGUCGGAUCCUAAGGGUAAGCCGAGUGGCGAUCCCGAUGGCAAACAGGUUAAUAUUCCUGUACUGAUCAUAACUGCGAUGCAGCGACGCAGAGGUGACACUGCUGCGUACUGACGGAAUAGUACGUUGAAACCCGUAUUCUUUGAUACCGGUAGUGAAGCACGCCGGUAGAGAUGAAAGGUGAUAGUACCGCAAUGCUUCGGUUGCGCGGAUAAUGCAGGUAAGCUGACUGCCAAGAAAACCUGCUAAGCUUCAGGUAAUGAUCAUCCGUACUGUAAACGGACACACGUGAUCAGGUAGAAAAUACUAAGGCGCUCGAGAGAUUCAUGGUUAAGGAACUAGGCAAAAUGGUCCUGUAACUUCGGGAUAAAGGACGCUCUUGUGAAAGAGCCGCAGAUAAUAGGCCCAGGCGACUGUUUACCAAAAACACAUGGCUAUGCUAAUUCGCAAGAAGAUGUAUAUGGCCUGACACCUGCCCGGUGCCGGAAGGUUAAGAGGAGAGCUCAGAUGUAAGUCGAAGGUUUGAAUUGAAGCCCCGGUAAACGGCGGCCGUAACUAUAACGGUCCUAAGGUAGCGAAAUUCCUUGUCGGGUAAGUUCCGACCUGCACGAAUGGUGUAACGAUCUGGGUACUGUCUCAACCAUGAGCUCGGUGAAAUUGUAGUUCCGGUGAAGAUGCCGGAUACCCGCAACGGGACGGAAAGACCCCGUGAACCUUUACUGCAGCUUUGCAUUGAUUUUGGGUAACAGAUGUGUAGGAUAGGUCGGAGGCUUUGAUGCUGCGUCGUCAGGCGUAGAGUAGCCGUCGUUGAAAUACGACCCUUUUGUUAUCUGAGGUCUAA
rnacentral:rRNA from 1 species